GCUGGCUGUGGGCCAAUAAACUGAAGCGGAAUCCUGAAAAGACAGGUGUAUUGUGUGUCUUAAAUUCUCAUGUACAGGAGGUGGGGAGAUAGAUGUCCUGGUUGGAAUCCCACUCCUCUGGAAGGAGCAGGUGUGCAGUUUGGGGGUGCACCUGGAUUCAACAUUGUCAUGAGGUUCCCAGAAAACCGUUCUACAGAUCCAGAGAAGCUCAAGGACAAUGCUGAAGACAACCUCAGGCAGCUCAGUUAAGGAAGUUGAUAGGCAGUUCACAAGCAGCAUCCCCAGUGUGUCUCUAAGGUCCAAGAAUUCUAUCAGCAUGACAAGUUGCUGUUCCUCUACAUGACAUGUCUGGAGGAGAAAGAACAACUGGGAAUUGCCAGGCUCAAGAAAUACCAGCCAGCCAAUCUAUUAAUCUAAAUAAACAAUGGAAAAUGUAA